rnacentral:sRNA from 1 species
UACAUGGUCGGGGAUGUUUAUCUUGGCUACAAAGACAACUUUUUGCUGGAUCGAUGUACUCUACUCUAAAGGACAGAGAGCCGGGAACGAGACGAAGCGAUGUGAGCGCUGGAGGGAAGUUGGGACACGCAGACACCCGAUCACCUGGUACUUCGUAAGAUAGCUAUCAGGGCUGCUAUGUGAGUGAGUGAGUGAGCUUGUGUGUUCCCAUCGGACUGAAGCGACGCAGCCCACGGCCUUCAUUUUCUGACUUAAAGAGGACGGUUUGCAUAUACAUAUAUCCUUCCCCCCACUCUCUCUCCAAUAAAAUACCCAGGUAGGUUAUUUCUGCAAUAGGCUUCGGAGACAAUGCAGCUGGCGAAAAAGGGGAUGCGCUUAAGUAAAAUUGAACAGAGCUGUGCAGGUAAGUUGGUGCAGAGUGGUAAUGAUGCUGCUAUGUAAGAAAUCUUCGUGGUGGGAGGAUUAAUUGAUCUUCCUGUAACUUUCUAGUGACUUAUGGGCCUGGAUUGAACGUUCAGCGGCAAAUAGUGAGGUGAGAGGAGACAUCAGCUUGAUGCUCAGUUUUCCUUUCAUAAGAGAAAAGGAAAGGAAAGGAAAGGAAACCCAUUUGCCCACAGUUCAUCUACAUACGGAGAUAUAAAUUUGAUCCCUUAAAUUGAUUAAAUUGAGGAUAAUAUACAGACGUUGCCAAUCCCGAACAUAUCCCAAGGAGAAACCACGGGAGAAAAAAAUCGCACAUUUCCCUGCCACAUCAAAAUAUAUCUGAGAGUUCUUGGAUCAAUCUGGCUUCGUUCAACUGCUCUGUUUGACGGCUCAGUUUUCCACUAAAACCAAACUUCAUUCCUAUCCAUGUCCCUCCCUUCUCUCAUUCUUCACCCCGAACAAUCUUGAAUGUUAUAUUUUUGAAGGUUGCUUGCUUUGAUGAAAUUAUUUCACCGCGUCCAAACACAACAUGGUGGUUUUGCCUAUUUCUGGCACUGUUUGCAUUUUCCAAAGGAAUGACUCUGGAAGAUUGGAGGCGGAACAAAAAAUAAAAUAAAAUAAAAUAAAUCAAGGAACAAAAUAGCGGAAAUAGACCAAGAUAACAAGCAGGAAAAAAAGUUGUCCAUUAUUCACCCUCUCAAACCCUCCUCCACAAGGGAACAAUUUUGUCCUUUUUGUUUAUUUAUCUCUUGACGCUCACCUGCAUCAUUAUCCUCCACUUCCUUCCCCAGGAAUGUUGUUAUUAAUUUCCUGUUUCAUUUUCGUUUUGUCGCACAUCCGUUUCAUGAAUCUAC